AGCUAUCGUGAGUGGCGCGAGAGCUCUGGCUCUUUGACCGCCCGGCAACCCUGCGCGAUGGCUUCGCGCGGAAGGUGCUAAAUCCAGUCCCGAGCAAGGUCGAGGGAAAGAUAAGCG
rnacentral:ncRNA from 2 species